rnacentral:sRNA from 1 species
AAGCAUGUUGCCGAAGACAGCAGGUGCCGCAAGGCAUAACGUAUACUACCUGCCGAGGAUGUGUCAAGCACAGUUAUUGUGCAUGAUGAUGAUUUUGAGCCUCUCUGUCUUUGCGCAGAGAGGUUUUUUUGUUUG